rfam:Phytophthora sojae unplaced genomic scaffold PHYSOscaffold_4, whole genome shotgun sequence.
GGACUUGUAGCUCAAUUGGCAAGAGCACCGCGAUUUGAGCGGAUGGACGCGGGUUCAAUUCCCGGCGUGUCCA